UACGUAGGGUGCGAGCGUUUGUCCGGAAUUACUGGGCGUAAAGAGCUCGUAGGUGGUUUGUCGCGUUGUUCGUGAAAACCGGGGGCUUAACCCUCGGCGUGCGGGCGAUACGGGGCAGACUUGAGUACUGCAGGGGAGACUGGAAUUCCUGGUGUAGCGGUGGAAUGCGCAGAUAUCAGGAGGAACACCGGUGGCGAAGGCGGGUCUCUGGGCAGUAACUGACGCUGAGGAGCGAAAGCGUGGGGAGCGAACAGG
rnacentral:rRNA from 1 species